CAGAAAGCUCCAUUCUCCAUCAUGGCGUGGACUCUGCUCUUGGCCUUCUUCUUCACAUGGAGCACAGGGGCCCAUUCACAGUACACCUUGACUCAACCUGCUACCCAAUCAUCUCCCCUGGGACAAUCAGCAAAGAUCUCAUGCACCAUGAGCCAGGACAGCCAGGUGGGCAGUUAUUACAUAGCUUGGUACCAACAACACCCUGGAAAGAGCCCCAAAUACCUUCUCUAUGAUGACAACAGCAAUGGCCGGUUCACGGGGUCCAUUGAUGCCUCUGCCAAUGCAGCCUACUUAACCAUUUCCAGCCUCCAGGCUGAUGAUGAGGCAGAUUAUUAUUGUGGUGGUGGUUACAGCAGUGGCAGCAACUGGAGGUAUCCACAGUGAUACAGUCCCUUGCAGAAG